GGCGUCGACGCGCGAGUUGAACGCUUCCCUUCGCUGCCAUUCGGACGGCGGGAAGUGUUCGAAGCGAACGCCACAAAAGGAAACGAAAAGCCGCAUAGAGCCACAUGGCGUAAUGGCUGACUGUAAACAAGCAACCCCGUCCAUGUUUACAUGCUGGAUCGCCUAGUCUCAUAAGGUCGCGGGAAGAGGCGCUAGGCACGGACGCAGCGCCAUGUGUGAGUGAGAACCGGGUUACGGACUAAGGCUGAAGAGUCGUCACUAAAGUUAUCUACAGAUGUUUGUUGGAUCACUCUUCAUCGCUUGGAUUGCUUGCUGAACCUGCUGCUUGCUCCUGCUGAAUCAAGCGUGACGUCCAUUCGAAGC